GCCACAGGAUGGGGUGGAGCUCAGGCGGGGGGAACGAAAGACCGUCGGCAGAGAUCCCGAGGGACCUCGCGACCCCAGGCCACUUCACUAUCACCCAGGCGCCCGCGCCCCAGCCUAGGGCUGGGAGUUCCCGGGCCCUGGACAAUUCGGCACACUUGGGACACCCCUAAGAUGCCCAGAUCUCCAAACCCCUCCCCGGUACCCAGGCCUGACCCAGGCUGAAGAGGUAGCAGGCCUGACGGGAGAGGGUACCACCACCCUGAUGCAACCUUCCAAGUCAACUGGAUCCCUCUUUCUGCUCCAUUCCCUCAGGAAAACCCUUAUUCUUUUACCGUAGGGGAAGGGGGCACAGGGACCAAAUCUAUUGCUCAGCCAUAGAGUACAUAUAUGUACUGCCCCACACAUGAAUUUGAAAAGAAUGUUAAAUUAACUGCUGUCAUUUAAAAUCAAGGAUAUGUCACAGGAAAA